rnacentral:misc_RNA from 1 species
GUAGGUGAACCUGCGGAAGGAUCAUUAACACGUGAUACACACGUAUUAACAACCCACCGAGAAAUUGUUAUAUUAUCCUAUUAUUGGCUGCAGGUAGGCUUAAUGAGGGAAUGCUAUGGGCCGCACUUCGAAAGAUUUUACGCCCUAACUCAUUUUGUCGUUCCAUGGUCCGUCCUGGAGCUUGCACUGAUUAAUAGUUGACGAGUUGCGACUGCUUAUUAAGCCUGUAGCAUAGCUUGCAGAUCUGCAA